CAUUAAGAAGCUAUUUAAGCAUUAACCUUUUAAGUCAAAGACAGGGAACCCUAGUCCCCUUAAUGG
ensembl:Mt_tRNA